GCGUCAGUAGUUUAGUGGCAGAAUUCCGGCCUUCCAAGUCGGAGACUCGGGUUCAAAUCCCGGCUGACGCA
rnacentral:tRNA from 1 species